CUGACUUUAUGGCACUUGCUCAGCCUGGUGUGACAGUGUCUGUCUCCUGGAGGCCAGGAGCCCCUGGCAUGCAGCCAGCAUGCCCCAUUUAUAAUCGUAGCCCAGCACAUGGAAGGGACCCAAGAGAAUGACAGCAACGUUGGCUUUGCCAUUUCAACCCUGAACCUCAUUUUACUGUUCUAUUCGUAUUAUCUGGGGGACAAAAUUUUCCCACAUUCCUUUCUGUUG
rnacentral:lncRNA from 1 species